AUUGAACGCUGGCGGCAGGCUUAACACAUGCAAGUCGAGCGGUAGCACAGGGGAGCUUGCUCCCUGGGUGGCGAGCGGCGGACGGGUGAGUAAUGUCUGGGAAACUGCCUGAUGGAGGGGGAUAACUACUGGAAACGGUAGCUAAUACCGCAUAAUGUCGCAAGACCAAAGUGGGGGGCCUUCGGGCCUCACACCAUCGGAUGUGCCCAGAUGGGAUUAGCUAGUAGGUGGGGUAAUGGCUCACCUAGGCGACGAUCCCUAGCUGGUCUGAGAGGAUGACCAGCCACACUGGGACUGAGACACGGCCCAGACUCCUACGGGAGGCAGCAGUGGGGAAUAUUGCACAAUGGGCGCAAGCCUGAUGCAGCCAUGCCGCGUGUGUGAAGAAGGCCUUAGGGUUGUAAAGCACUUUCAGCGAGGAGGAAGGGUGAUGUGUUAAUAGCACAUGACAUUGACGUUACUCGCAGAAGAAGCACCGGCUAACUCCGUGCCAGCCGCCGCGGUAA
rnacentral:rRNA from 1 species